UGACAAGCCAGACCCACAUCAUGAUGUUGGGUCUGGUAAAUCACCAAAGGCAAUGCUCAAUCCGAGGGGGCGGGAUAAACGGUUGUCUUUCACAUUCCCUCUGCACGCAAUAGGAUAGCGCUACAACCAACCAGAGCAAUGCUAGUUGAUAGAUUAAACUUUUGUUGCAUCCAGUGUGAAAACUCUGAAC